GAUGAAGAACGCAGCAAAAUGCGAUAAGUAAUGUGAAUUGCAGAAUUCAGUGAAUCAUCGAAUCUUUGAACGCACAUUGCGCCCGCCAGUAUUCUGGCGGGCAUGCCUGUUCGAGCGUCAUUUCAACCCUCAAGCACAGCUUGGUGUUGGGACUCGCGUUAAUUCGCGUUCCCCAAAUUGAUUGGCGGUCACGUCGAGCUUCCAUAGCGUAGUAGUAAAACCCUCGUUACUGGUAAUCGUCGCGGCCACGCCGUUAAACCCCAACUUCUGAAUGUUGACCUCGGAUCAGGUAGGAAUACCCGCUGAACUUAAGCAUAUCAACAAGCGGAGGA
rnacentral:misc_RNA from 1 species